UACCGGCUAAAACCACCCCGGUGUCCAC
rnacentral:sRNA from 1 species